UACUCGCGUAUAUAUAGCUUCGAAGACAUGUAUUUUUUCCCUUUAUUUCCUUACAACUUUGUCCUAACUUAAACAGUUUCAGCUCAAUUUGUAUUUUCUUAAUAAGGGGUUUGUGAUUUAUUGAUUGUUGGUUGCUUAACAUCCAAUGGCAAAUAUUUCAUGCGCGUUCUGAACGGUAAGAGGUUAGUGUAAUACAUGACCCACUACUCACUGGUUGAAUAUCCCUGCAGCGUUUCAAAUGCAUUGCAUAAUGACUUUGCAUUUACACCAUAACAUCAUUUUAUGCAGAUAUUUU
rnacentral:lncRNA from 1 species